GGAUGUGAGGGCAAUCUGGCUGCAACAUCUGUCACCCCAUUGGUCGCCAGGGUUGAUUCAUCUGAAGGACGGUCUUUGGUCAAGGGUAUAUGAGUAGGUGUGCUCCCCUGCUAGAACCUCUAAACAAGCUCUUAAUUCAUCUUUAGGAAGGCAAAUGUACUCAAAUAUUUCCUUUAUGUCCAAGACUAAUACUAUCUAUAUUUUUUCUUUGAAUAUAUUGUUAGCCUUU
rfam:Cricetulus griseus cell line CHO-K1, whole genome shotgun sequence.